rnacentral:lncRNA from 1 species
AUAACAAUGUAAUUUAUACUCGUUAUGUUUGAAGCAGCGUUUUGUAAGACCUUUACAAAUGGAUUGUGUCAUUUUUGCACAAAAAAAAUUUGAAAAAAAUUAGACGACAUAGAUCCAACAGGGGAGAAAAAAAACUUGCACAAAGCAGAAAGUACAGAACUCUGACGAUGCUGAACAACAGCAAUGCAACCAGUCCCACAUCUGGAAACCUAACAUCCUGCUUUCCAGGCCCUCCUAGUAUCCUGCUUCCAGGCUCUCGGCCGAGCAGUUGCAUACGGCCCAAGUCUGGUCGCCGGC